GUCAGGAUGGCCGAGUGGUCUAAGGCGCCAGACUCAAGCACUGGAGGCGUGGGUUCAAAUCCCACUCCUGACA